rnacentral:lncRNA from 1 species
ACAAACAUGUGGGAUGAUGCAAAUUCUCCCUCCUCUUGGAUCACAGGAAUGAGAGGGGACUACCAGUCUCAGCAGUUCUGAGAUCCCAGCAAACUCUGGCUUGGGUAAAAGCUCCAACUCUGGGGUAAAUGGCCCCAGGCAGCCAAGUGUGGUGGUGCACACCUGUAAGCCCAGCACUCAGGAGGCGGAGGCAGGGCCAGGACAAGGCUCAGUAGGU